CCCGGACUCGGACUGGAACUAUACCAUUGGCUCCCCUGGGUCAUCUCCAGCUGGACUGCAGAUCUUGAGAACUAUUGUCCUUCAUAAUCACGUGAAAUAAUCACAAAUGGAUUUCAAGAAACAUUCUAUAAAGUCCUGACCUUGAAAUUCUUUGUCAUCCUAAGAAGUUUGGACUUUAUCCCGAGGUCAAAGAAAUGAAAAAUCAGAUUAUUGUAGCUGCACUAUGAAAAAUGGAGUGAAGUAGGGUAACACGAGAGGCAUGGACAAAAAUUAAUCAUCUAGAUGUACGGCCCUAGGACUGGGACAGAUAGCCACUGAAUACCUGCUUGAAAUUACCUUUUACGUUUCCUUGUUGGACAGAUAAUCAUUGAAGAAGCAUCUUGUUACCCUCAGCAAAAAUGGAAACAAAUCAAAGAAUUUUGAAUUAAGAAUGCCACGAUGGCCAGCUGUCAUGCAGGCUUCAGCAGAGGAAGUUUUCAAGACUGAGUGCCUCACCGGCCAGAAAUCAGAGAAGAUUGAAUCCAUCCUUUUGUCUCAACUGCUCCUUAAAUCAAUGUAACCCCUCCAAAUUAAUGUGAAUUGAAACAUGCAUUGCCUUUUAACUUAACUGAGUACUUACUGUGUGUGAAUCACUGCCCAAAACAGGGGAGAGAAAAUGAGAGAGACAAAUAAGAUGGAGAGUCUGCCUUCAAUGAAUUUACAAUUAGUUUCAGGGCACAUAUUUUUUUCUUCUGCUCUUAAUUAGAUAUAUCCCUAAGACAAGAAACAAAUGAACUGAACAGUGUAUUCUGUAAGUAUUUUAAGUCCCUUUAAUAAAAAACAAGACAAAAAACAAACACAAAGACCUCCUAAUAUGGGCAACUCAGGGCAGUUUAAUUUCAUUUUUUUGUUGGAUUUCUGAUAGACAGGAUCCAUUUUAUUGAUUUUAUAAAUAUUCAAUAGCCUUUAGGGAUAUUAAUACAUUAUAGUUUGAGUUAAUUUGAAUCAAAUUCUAUUUUUUCCCUUAGGUGUAGAUUGUCUGUUGGAAAAACACAUUGUUUGCACAUGUCUUGGGGAGCACAAAGGUGAAUUACACCUGUUGUUUCUAUAGGCCUCUACCUUCCAUGCCUUAGGGCCCUGCCUUUCCAAGUGAGUUAUUAACAUGGAGAAGAGGAAGGCUUGGAUCAAACUUGUGGGAGUCACUUACGGAACUGAGAUAGGACAGAAGAGGAGAAAAGCGCACCUGGGCAAUGGCCGUGUAUGAAAAUUUGGUUAAGUAAUUAUUUUAGUUUUCAUUGUUCUUUGUGUUCCAUAAGUUGAAUGAUUAUACAGUUUUUCCAAAAAUUAAUUUCUACCUAAGAAUAAGUAUGUCAUGAUUUUUCCAGUGUUAACACAUUGAUAUGACUGUAACACUAGACAUUUUAUGUAGAGUCUGACACAUUUUAGUAUGUAUGAGCCAAUAAUAGACAUGUCUUUGUCUUGAGUAGUGUCCAUCCGAAUUGAAAAUGUGCCAGCUUUUUUACCCACCAUCAACAGACUUCUUAAUUAAGCUGCCAAUACAUACUGCCAAUAGCGCUGUGUGCUGUUUCAGAAAUGAAUUGUGUAAGUGAUGUUUCCAUCUUAUUAAAUAAACAAUGUUGCUCUGUA